GACGAACGCUGGCGGCGUGCUUAACACAUGCAAGUCGAACGGAAAGGCCCUGCUUUUGUGGGGUGCUCGAGUGGCGAACGGGUGAGUAACACGUGAGUAACCUGCCCUUGACUUUGGGAUAACUUCAGGAAACUGGGGCUAAUACCGGAUAGGAGCUCCUGCUGCAUGGUGGGGGUUGGAAAGUUUCGGCGGUUGGGGAUGGACUCGCGGCUUAUCAGCUUGUUGGUGGGGUAGUGGCUUACCAAGGCUUUGACGGGUAGCCGGCCUGAGAGGGUGACCGGCCACAUUGGGACGGGGAUACGGCCCAGACUCCUACGGGAGGCAGCAGUGGGGAAGAGUGCACAAGGGGCGGAAGGCUGAUGCAGCAACGCCGCGUGCGGGAUGACGGCCUUCGGGUUGUAAACCGCUGUCGCCUGUGACGAAGCGUGAGUGACGGUAAUGGGUAAAGAAGCACCGGCUAACUACGUG
rnacentral:rRNA from 1 species